GACGAACGCUGGCGGCGUGCUUAACACAUGCAAGUCGAACGGAAAGGCCCUGCUUUUGUGGGGUGCUCGAGUGGCGAACGGGUGAGUAACACGUGAGUAACCUUCCCUUGACUUUGGGAUAACUUCAGUAAACUGGGGCUUAUACCGGAUAGUAGCUCCUGCUGCAUGGUGGGGGUUGGAAAGUUUCGGCGGUUGGGGAUGGACUCGCGGCUUAUCAGCUUGUUGGUGGGGUAGUGGCUUACCAAGGCUUUGACGGGUAGCCGGCCUGAGAGGGUGACCGGACACAUUGGGACUGAGAUACGGACCAGACUCCUACGGGAGGCAGAAGUGGGGAAUAUUGCACAAUGGGCGGAAGCCUGAUGCAGCAACGCCGCGUGCGGGAUGAAGGCCUUCGGGUUGUAAACCGCUUUCGCCUGUGACGAAGCGUGAGUGACGGUAAUGGGUAAAGAAGCACCGGCUAACUACGUG
rnacentral:rRNA from 1 species